AACGGUCUAUACCUGCGGUACCUGCGGAGGGAUCAUUACCGAGUGCUGUCCCCCCCGGUCCGCCGGGCGGGGGCACUGCCUCCCACCCUUCGUCUACUAUCCUGUUGCUUCGGCGGGCCCGCCCUUGGGCCGCCGGGGGGGUUUUUUCCCCCGGCCCGCGCCCGCCGGAGACACCUCAGAACACUGCAUGAAUUGUUGCCGUCUGAGUCUUUAUCAAAUAUAUAAAACUUUCAACAACGG
rnacentral:misc_RNA from 1 species